AGUGAACGCUGGCGGUAGGCCUAACACAUGCAAGUCGAACGGCAGCACAGGAGAGCUUGCUCUCUGGGUGGCGAGUGGCGGACGGGUGAGGAAUACGUCGGAAUCUACUCUGUCGUGGGGGAUAACGUAGGGAAACUUACGCUAAUACCGCAUACGACCUACGGGUGGAAGCAGGGGAUCUUCGGACCUUGCACGAUUGAAUGAGCCGAUGUCGGAUUAGCUAGUUGGCGGGGUACAGGCCCACCAAGGCGACGAUCCGUAGCUGGUCUGAGAGGAUGAACAGCCACACUGGAACGGAGACACGGUCCAGACUCGUACGGGAGGCAGCAGUGGGGAAUAUUGGACAAUGGGCGCAAGCCUGAUCCAGCCGUACCGCGUGGGUGAAGAAGGCCUUCGGGUUGUAAAGCCCUUUUGUUGGGAAAGAAAUCCAGCUGGCUAAUACCCGGUUGGGAUGACGGUACCCAAAGAAUAAGCACCGGCUAACUUCGUGCCAGCAGCCACAGUAA
rnacentral:rRNA from 1 species